UACGGGGGGGGCAAGCGUUGUUCGGAAUUACUGGGCGUAAAGGGCUCGUAGGCGGCCAACUAAGUCAUACGUGAAAUCCCUCGGCUUAACCGGGGAACUGCGUCUGAUACUGGAUGGCUUGAGUUCGGGAGAGGGAUGCGGAAUUCCAGGUGUAGCGGUGAAAUUCGUAGAUAUUGGGAAGAACACCGGUGGCGAAGGCGGCUCUCUGGACCGAUACUGACGCUGAGGCGCGAAAGCGUGGGGAGCAAACAGG
rnacentral:rRNA from 1 species